rnacentral:lncRNA from 1 species
AGUUUGCAUAGAAUUAAGAAUUCAUUAUGCUGAACCAUUUAUACUCAUACUCAAUCUCUCUGUCAUCCUAGACACCAAGAAUAUGGAUUUACAAGAUGGUUGCUUCGGAGUUGGGAGUGGGAAUAAAGAAGCUAACAAUAUUAUUGCCAAAAAAAGAAACAAAGAAAAUACAGUCAUUAAAUCAUUUAAAAGAAAAUUCCUAGAAGAGAACAAAAGGAAAUUCAGAUGGAAACAGACAAUCAGGGCAGCUUUAAAAGUAAUAGAGAAUUUAUUUUGUAAUUUUUUAAAAGGCAUUGUUGUAUGUUUGGACAUGUAUACUUAUAUUGUAUUUAAUUUAUACUUUAACAUAUUUAACACGUAUUGUUCAACCUGUCAUCUGGGGGAGAGGAUGGGAGGAAGGAGGGGAAAGAUUGGAACAAAAGGUUUGGCAAUUGUCAAUGCUGUAAAGUUACCCAUGCAUAUAACUUGUAAAUAAAAAGCUAUAGUUUAAAAAAAAAAAUGUAUGUGAUCAAAAUUUAUAGGGAUAUACUGUUGUUGUUUGGUCAUUUGUCCUGUUUAAUGUCCAUGACCCCAUUUGGAGUUUUCUUGACAAAGAUACUAGAGUGGCUUGCUAUUUCCUUCUCCAACUCAUUUUACAGAUGAAACUGGGGCAAAUUGGCUAAAGUGACCUGCCCAGGAUCACAGAUAAUAAAUUACAGAUAGUAAAUGUUUGGGGCUGGAUUUGAACUCAGAUUUUCCUGAUUCCAGGGCCAAUGCUCUAUCUGCUGCAUUACCUAGCUGCCCAGGGAGGGCAGGGAUGAGUAAUAUACUAGUAAAUGUUUAACAACUGGCUCUCAAAAAAUACCAUGACACACUUCAAAUUAAUCUGCAAUAUUAACAUUUUCUCUAAUUUCUUAAGUCUAGAAAUAAACAAAGCAAUAAAUCAAACCCUGAUUUAUAGUAUUUGCAGACUUCCAAAAAUGUAAAAGCUCAUGCAUCUAAAAUGAAAUGAUUGCUCCUCCCUAACCCAUAUGAGCAGGGCCCAACAUACUCCUGUUACCAUCUUUUAUCUUCUAAUUUUCAAAGGGGGGUGUUUUUCUUCUUUGGGGAUGAGAAGCAGUGUUUAAAUGCAG